rnacentral:rRNA from 1 species
CCUGACUGCUAUCGGAUUGAUACUAAGCCAUGCGAGUCAUUGUAGCAAUACAAGGCAGACGGCUCAGUAACGCGUAGUCAAUCUACCCUAUGGACGGGAAUAACCUCGGGAAACUGAGAAUAAUGCCCGAUAGAACAUUAUGCCUGGAAUGGUUUAUGUUUCAAAUGAUUUAUCGCCAUAGGAUGGGACUGCGGCCUAUCAGUUUGUUGGUGAGGUAAUGGCCCACCAAGACUAUUACAGGUACGGGCUCUGAGAGGAGUAGCCCGGAGAUGGGUACUGAGACACGGACCCAGGCCCUAUGGGGCGCAGCAGGCGAGAAAACUUUGCAAUGUGCGAAAGCACGACAAGGUUAAUCCGAGUGGUUUCUGCUAAAGAAACCUUUUGUCAGUCCUAGAAACACUAACGAAUAAGGGGUGGGCAAGUUCUGGUGUCAGCCGCCGCGGUAAAACCAGCACCUCAAGUGGUCAGGAUGAUUAUUGGGCCUAAAGCAUCCGUAGCUCGUUUUGUAAGUUUUCGGUUAAAUCCAUGCGCUUAACGUAUGGGCUGCCGGGAAUACUGCAUAACUAGGAAGUGGGAGAGGUAGACGGUACUCGGGAGGAAGGGGUAAAAUCCUUUGAUCUCUUGAUGGCCACCUGUGGCGAAGGCGGUCUACCAGAACACGUUCGACGGUGAGGGAUGAAAGCUGGGGGAGCAAACCGGAUUAGAUACCCGGGUAGUCCCAGCUGUAAACUAUGCAAACUCAGUGAUGCAUUGGCUUAUGGCCAAUGCAGUGCUGCAGGGAAGCCGUUAAGUUUGCCGCCUGGGAAGUACGUACGCAAGUAUGAAACUUAAAGGAAUUGGCGGGGGAGCACACAAGGGGUGAAGCCUGCGGUUCAAUUGGAUUCAACGC